GUGGGGAAUAUUGCACAAUGGGCGCAAGCCUGAUGCAGCAACGCCGCGUGAGGGAUGACGGCCUUCGGGUUGUAAACCUCUUUUAGUAGGGAAGAAGCGUAAGUGACGGUACCUGCAGAAAAAGCACCGGCUAACUACGUGCCAGCAGCCGCGGUAAUACGUAGGGUGCAAGCGUUGUCCGGAAUUAUUGGGCGUAAAGAGCUCGUAGGCGGCUUGUCGCGUCUGCUGUGAAAACCCGGGGCUCAACCUCGGUCUUGCAGUGGGUACGGGCAGGCUAGAGUGCGGUAGGGGAGAUUGGAAUUCCUGGUGUAGCGGUGGAAUGCGCAGAUAUCAGGAGGAACACCGAUGGCGAAGGCAGAUCUCUGGGCCGUAACUGACGCUGAGGAGCGAAAGCAUGGGGAGCGAACAGGAUUAGAUACCCCUGUAGUCC
rnacentral:rRNA from 1 species